rnacentral:lncRNA from 1 species
AUCCUGCAAUGCUGGAUCUCCAAAAAAAGAUUUUAGGAUAAGCCACUUCAUGGAAGUUUGCUCCCUUGUACAAUGCUCACCCCCAAAGCAAGCUGUGAUCAUGUGCCCAAAGACCUCCAUUCUAUUCCUUUUUCCAGGACACGCACAGGUGGUGGCAUUGUACCACAGAACAAUGCCUAUAGACCCUCAGGUAACUCGCACA